rnacentral:lncRNA from 1 species
GUGUGUGUGUGUGGUUGUUACAGUGGGCUCCAGACUCCCGAAGAGUAGAGCCAUCGGGCCAGCUGGCCGUGCACUGCAGUAGAGACUAAUAUACCAAAAGAUUAUCAUCUCAGAUAAUUAACCUCUCAUCUGUAACCGCUCUCGCGAACAAAGCAAUUUGCCAGAUAUAAUCCUCAAAAAGGGGUGAUGUGCGCCAACGGAAUCCCAACCUUUUCGUGGAAUUCCUAAAGCUGCGAAACCCUGAAUGCGGCCCCAAAAAUCAACAAUAACUCGACAAAUUG